AGGGACUCGAAGGGUGACGUCUGACCUUCAACUCACAGUGGAUGUGUUUUGGACCAAUUGCUGAUCAGGAGAAAUGGAAGAGACUUAGUGCUGCUGCAGUCUUCAAUAAAGUGUUUCUCUGUUGAGUGCUGCAAGUCUGGAUGGAGUCCAAGUAAAACAACAAAAACACAAACAGCUGUUUACGCGAGGCUAAGAAACAGGACUUUGCAUGUAAUGUUCCUUGCAAGCUUGAUGAAAAGUCUCGAUUGUGGUGCAUACCUUCUUAAUAUGAGCUGCAGAGUAAACUGUAAACCGUGGGUCAAACAUCAGCAUAAGGAGCUCCAGAGAUCAAACUAAUCUGCUUGAAAAGGUGAAAGGUCACAGAUUUUGGAGGAAUCGACAGACUGAUGGUAAACUACACGCUUCAGUCACUAGCGUCUCUCUCUCUCUGCAUUCCUCUGGUGUUAGGUAAGAACCUCUCUUGCCAACCCAAGUAAAAUGAUGUUUUCAAAUUUCCAUGAUUCAACUUCCUCAUCCUGGUCAUCGAGUCCAUAUACGGCUAAUUUCCAUUUCCCUGAUGUAAUCAGCCUCUGCUUGUUGUAAAUGGUUCUCGGUGCUUUCAGAUUCAUAUCAGGCAAGUAAAUAACUGCACGUCUGUAAAAAUUGUGGAAUUUGUGGUGUUCUGAUGUGUUUGUUUGAGUGAUACGAGAUCAUUUUUGUUGAUUUGGGCAGAAUACAUGAUAGCAAUGUUGUUGUUGUUUUUAAAAUGAAUCUUUUGAAGUACACUACAAUGCAAACAUUUUGGGUUGGUAAAAAAAAUGUUAAUAAAAAAAUAAAAAUAACUUUUGCUCAC